rnacentral:rRNA from 1 species
GACGUAGGGCGCAAGCGUUGUCCGGAUUUAUUGGGCGUAAAGAGCUCGUAGGCGGUUUGUCGCGUCUGCCGUGAAAGUCCGGGGCUCAACUCCGGAUCUGCGGUGGGUACGGGCAGACUAGAGUGAUGUAGGGGAGACUGGAAUUCCUGGUGUAGCGGUGAAAUGCGCAGAUAUCAGGAGGAACACCGGUGGCGAAGGCGGGUCUCUGGGCCGAUACUGACGCUGAGGCGCGAAAGCUAGGGGAGCGAACGGG